GGGUCAAUGAUGUCUAAGCGGUCUGGGCCUUGAAGAGAGGUGAUGACAAAAAUCCUGCUCAAUAGGAUUACGCUGAGGCCC